UACGUAGGGGGCUAGCGUUGUCCGGAAUCAUUGGGCGUAAAGCGCGUGUAGGCGGUCCGGUAAGUCCGCUGUGAAAGUCGAGGGCUCAACCCUCGAAUGCCGGUGGAUACUGUCGGGCUAGAGUGCGGAAGAGGCGAGUGGAAUUCCUGGUGUAGCGGUGAAAUGCGCAGAUAUCAGGAGGAACACCUAUUGCGAAGGCAGCUCGCUGGGACGGUACUGACACUGAGGCGCGAAAGCGUGGGGAGCGAACAGG
rnacentral:rRNA from 1 species